CCUACGGGAGGCAGCAGUGAGGAAUAUUGGUCAAUGGGCGGAAGCCUGAACCAGCCAAGUAGCGUGCAGGAUGACGGCCCUACGGGUUGUAAACUGCUUUUAUACGGGAAUAACGCGCCUUACGUGUAGGACUUUGCAUGUACCGUAUGAAUAAGGACCGGCUAAUUCCGUGCCAGCAGCCGCGGUAAUACGGAGGAUUCAAGCGUUAUCCGGAUUUACUGGGCGUAAAGGGUGCGCAGGCGGUUGAGUAAGACAGAUGUGAAAUCCCCGAGCUUAACUCGGGAAUGGCAUAUGUGACUGCUCGACUAGAGUGUGUCAGAGGGAGGUGGAAUUCCACGUGUAGCAGUGAAAUGCGUAGAUAUGUGGAAGAACACCGAUGGCGAAGGCAGCCUCCUGGGACAUAACUGACGCUCAGGCACGAAAGCGUGGGGAGCAAACAGGAUUAGAUACCCCUGUAGUC
rnacentral:rRNA from 1 species